CCGCCGGCAACUUUGUGAGCGAGUUCAGUACGUGCGUGAGCGAGUGAGCGGAAAGGAGAGCGCGCGGACGACGCGCCCCGGACGCGCGGCUGCACCGGGAAGCCCAGGCCAAGCGAUUUCGGGAGAUUGCCACAAUUUGGACUCACAAGCAAGAUUCACUCCAAGCUUUCAGAGGGCAUGAGGUACCUUUCAGAUGGUUGCUGGCUGCUCAGAAAACUGCUGUAGGGAAACUGCAAGUAGUACCAGGAGGUAGGCCGGGCUCUGGUGCCUCUGGGCUGUUGCCUGGAAGUUGCUUACUUUGCUCUUUGCCUGUGUGUCCUUAUUUGAUUGAGUGAGUGGUUGGCAGUAAUGGUUGAUCCCGAGGGGUUGCUUC
ensembl:lncRNA